rnacentral:rRNA from 1 species
AGAAUGAACGUUGGCGGCGUGGAUUAGGCAUGCAAGUCGAGCGCGAUGAGUUUUGAAGCUUGCUUUAGAACUCGGAAAGCGGCGAAAGGGAGAGUAACGCGUAGUUACGUGCCCCAGGGUUCGGAAUAGCCACGGGAAACUGUGGGUAAUGCCGAAUAACAUCUCCGGAUCAAAGGUGUGAUUCCGCCCUGGGAGCGGACUGCGUCCUACUAGCUUGUGGCGGGUAAUGGCCCACCAAGGCAACAAUGGGUAGCGGGUGUGAGAGCAUGACCCGUCUCACUGGGACUGAGACACUGCCCAGACACCUACGGGUGGCUGCAGUCGAGAAUCUUCGGCAAUGGGCAAAGCCUGACCGAGCGACGCCGCGUGCGGAUGAAGGCCCUGGGUUCGUAAACCGCUGUCGUAGGGAGAGG